GGACCGUUAGCUCAGCUGGUAGAGCAGCAGACUCUUAAUCUGCGGGUCAAAGGUUCGAUCCCUUUACGGUUCA
rnacentral:tRNA from 1 species